UACAGGGGUUGCAAACGUUGCUCGGAAUCAUUGGGCGUAAAGCGCACGUAGGCGGUUCGUUAUGUCGGAUGUGAAAGCCCUUGGCUUAACCGAGGAAGUGCAUCCGAAACUGGCGAGCUAGAGUACGAAAGAGGAUCGCGGAAUUCCCGGUGUAGAGGUGAAAUUCGUAGAUAUCGGGAGGAACACCGGUGGCGAAGGCGGCGAUCUGGGUCGAUACUGACGCUGAGGUGCGAAAGCGCGGGGAGCAAACAGG
rnacentral:rRNA from 1 species